rnacentral:tRNA from 1 species
GCGGAUGUGGCGGAACUGGCAGACGUGCUAGCCUUAGGAGCUAGUGGGGCAACCCGUGGGGGUUCGACUCCCUCCAUCCGCACCA